rnacentral:lncRNA from 1 species
GGAAGAUCAGAACUUCCAGAGACGUGAGGCCGAGGGUCAGUUUCCAGUAGAACAAAGCUGUUGAGGGAAAACGAAUAGGAAUUUAGAAACCGGGAAGUUCUGGAGGCCAGAAUCUGGAGAUCAUAGCGUCGAAAUGCAGGCCCCUCUGCAGGCUCGGGGGGAGUCCGCGCUCUGCUGCCUCCAGCUUCGGGCGGCUGUCGACUUUCUCUGGUUUGUGGCAGCAUCAUUCCAGUCUCUGGCCCACGGUCACACUGCCUUCUCCAUUCUCUGUCUUCUUGUCUGUCUGUCCAUGUGUCUCUCUGAUAAGGAUACACGUGGCUGCAUUUAGGGCCCACCUGGGAAAUCCAAGAGAAGCUCCUCCUCUCGGCAUCCUUAGCUUAAUCCCACGCUUUUCCAUAUAAGCGUUGACUGUGUUUCACAUACUGUUGAAUGUCCUGGGGACAUAUUGACGAGGAAGACGCCCAAGAUGCCCACCCCACAGAGCAUAAGGUCUAGUGAAACAUACAGGCAUUCUUUCUGCCAACGGUACCUGGAUUUUCCUUUAGGGAAUUUACUCAUCCACCAUUCUCAGCUGUGCAGUAGAAUGAGUAGGAAGUGAGGGGUCUGGAGUAUUUAUUACCUUUAUUUCCAUCUCUGCUAAGCUGCUGGCAGAAUGAUGUUGAAAAGAGAAGAUCGAGAGAGCAGGAGUCCUGGGUGCCCGGAAUUACUCUGGAAGACGAAUGUGUGAUCUGGGCACAGAGCCGCUGUGACCUUCAGAAUGGCUGUGCCAGCACGUCCAGGGCUGGAGGACCAGGCUGGGGUCUGCACAGACCUCCUGUGAAAGACACUGCAGAAGGCAGCCCGUGGACGGGGUGGACGUGUUUGCGGCAUCCAACAAAGGUACACAGUUGUAUAUUCUUCGUUGUGGGUCCUUCUAGUUGUGGCGUGUGGGAUGCUGCCUCAGCAUGGUUUGAUGAGCAGUGCCAUGUCUGUGCCCAGGAUUUGAACCAACGAAACACUGGGCCGCCUGCAGCGGAGCGCACGAACUUAACCACUCGGCCAUGGGGCCAGACCCCAUUUUAACCAUUUUAAAGUGUACAAUUCAGUGGCAUUUACUACAUUCACAGUAUUGGGCAACCAUCACCAUUAUCUGGCUCCAGAACAUUUCAGCACCCCAAAAGGGAAAUUCUGUACCCAUCAGCAGUCAGUCCCAAUGCCUCCCAACUCCUGGCAACCACUAAUCUACUUUCCAUCUCUAUGCGUUUGUCUGUUCUGGACAUUUUGUAUAAAUGGAAUCAUAUAUUAU